UACGUAGGGUGCAAGCGUUGUCCGGAAUUAUUGGGCGUAAAGAGCUCGUAGGCGGUCUGUCGCGUCGGCUGUGAAAACCCGGGGCUCAACCCCGGGCCUGCAGUCGAUACGGGCAGACUAGAGUGUGGUAGGGGAGACUGGAAUUCCUGGUGUAGCGGUGAAAUGCGCAGAUAUCAGGAGGAACACCGGUGGCGAAGGCGGGUCUCUGGGCAUUACCUGACGCUGAGGAGCGAAAGCCUGGGGAGCGAACGGG
rnacentral:rRNA from 1 species